UCUCAGGGUAAUUUUAUUGAAAGUAAAGAAGAAUUCCCAAACACAGCUGUAAAAAUGGAAGCUGGCUGGUGGUACUAGGGAACCCGUUUAAAAAAUAAUUUCUAUUGGAUCUUGUAUCAAUUUUUCCUGUUAUGGACUAUCUCAAAAUUUGAUAAUUUGUGGAUAAGAACAAGUAGCACAUGAUCUCGGUUAUCUAAUUACCUGCUUUCCCUGUUGGACUCAAUGCUGUGUAAGGAAAGAAAAACGUUAGCUUUCUUACACACCAAAAAUAUUCCCAGAGCUUGUUAAGAUGUUAGGAACAUCCCAGUUUCUUAAGAAGUAUUUGCUGAAGACAUGGAUCUCUCAGUGAAAAAUAACUGAUGGGAUUUUACCAGCACUGGAACUGUGAGCAUGAGCAAUGAUAUGUCCCCUGCAAGAUGAGUUUUUAUGGAGCAGAUGAUGAGUUAAGCAGCAUGGAAAAAGAUGUGUUUUCAAAAGAUAGUGUUGGGCCAUGCCAUAAUGAAUCUUAGAGCCAGAAGUUACAUGAGAAAGAUGUAGAUUUUGGUAUAGGGCCAAGGACUGGCAAGGAAAAUCCAAUUCAGACCAAUCUCCCUAUAAUGAUAUAUAUAGGUUUGGAAAAGGAAAUCUGAAACCAUUUUGAUUUUCUAUCCCAUAAUAUAAUAAUAUAUAAUAUACUGCUAUUCUUCUAUGCUCUUAAAUCGUCUUUUAAACAGCUUUCAGGAUGUGUAUUUAUGAAAAAUAGAGCUGGUGUUCAAAUGCCCUCAUUAUCAGGGCAGUAAUCUUCCCAAGUACUAGACUCCAAAAUGGAAUACAUUAAAAACAGCCAACUUAAAAUAGAACUUAGUUCUUCAUGAUUAUGUUGAAAAUUUAAGUAAAAUAUGUUAUUAAGGAAUUGUUAUAUUCCAGAAGUGAGGAAAGGUAAAGCAAGGGCUAGACCACAACACACCAGAGGCUAGACCACAACACACCAGAGGCUAGACCACAACACACCAGAGGAUAGAUCACAACACAAAAAACAAUAGAUUCACCCAGUUCAGUAGUUUCAGAUAUAGUAAUUUACAAGAUAAUUUCUCUAUCCUGGUAAUCUGGCUAAGGCAAAUGAGGUUCUUUUAUUUCUACCUUAGUUAUUAAUAUCAAAUGUCUUAUAAUGCAUCUUACAGCAAUGAAUCCGUAUGAGAGUAUAUCUAGAGGCAUGCAUGUGGCUUACCGAAUGAAUUUAAGGGAAAGAGGCAGCAUUGGAAACAUCCUAGAAGUAGGUUGAUGGGUAAUGUCAAUAGAGUCUGUAUGGGUAAGAUAACUGAGAACUCAGGUCAGUAUAAAAAAUAAUUCAGAUUGGUGCAAGGGCCUGCCGUCACAUUGCUAGAUGUCCAUAAUUUUAUGGGGUUCACGUGAGGGAAAUACAGCCUCUCCUUGUUCUAAUAAGCCAUAUGAGUUCUUGUGUCUAGUUUCCUUGCUUUUUUUUUUUUUUUUUUUUAAGAUGCCCAUGUACCCUCAAAGUCUCAAUUUAUCCCCAUAAACGUAAAAGUUGGCACCCUUUCUAUAACCUGGAUUAGGUCAUUUUUUCAGAGCUGGAUGGAUAGUGCCCAACGAAUAUGGUAACACCAGGGGCCAUAGCCACCCAUCUGUAAAAUGGAGCAAAAGGCUGUUUGUGAAAUAGAGAGCACAGCCUGAAAAACAGAACAAAACAAAACAAAAC
rnacentral:lncRNA from 1 species